GCCUGGGUGGCUCACUUGGUUGGGCGUCUGACUUUGGUUCAGGUCAGGUCAUGAUCUUAGGGUUUGUGGGUUUGAGCCCCACAUCGGGUU
rnacentral:tRNA from 1 species